AUAUCAAUAAGCGGAGGAAAAGAAACUAACAAGGAUUCCCCUAGUAACGGCGAGUGAAGCGGGAACAGCUCAAAUUUGAAAUCUCACGGGUCCGCCCGUGCGAAUUGUAGUUUAGAGAAACGUCUUGGGGAGGGGCGCGGGCAUAAGUCCUUUGGAAUGAGGCAUCAUAGAGGGUGAGAAUCCCGUCUUUGGUCCGAUGCCCCCUCCUAUGUCAUACGUUUUCCACGAGUCGGUUUGUUUGGGAAUGCAGACCAAAAUGGGUGGUAAAUACCAUCUAAAGCUAAAUAUUGGCGAGAGACCGAUAGCGCACAAGUA
rnacentral:rRNA from 1 species